rnacentral:rRNA from 1 species
GGAUAACUACCGGAAACGGUAGCUAAUACCGGAUAAUUUAUUACAUAGCAUUAUGUGAUAAUGAAAGACGGAGCAAUCUGUCACUUGGGGAUGGGCCUGCGGCGCAUUAGCUAGUUGGUGGGGUAACGGCCCACCAAGGCGACGAUGCGUAGCCGACCUGAGAGGGUGAACGGCCACACUGGGACUGAGACACGGCCCAGACUCCUACGGGAGGCAGCAGUAGGGAAUCUUCCGCAAUGGGCGAAAGCCUGACGGAGCAACGCCGCGUGAGUGAUGAAGGUUUUCGGAUCGUAAAGCUCUGUUGCCAAGGAAGAACGUCUCAUAGAGUAACUGCUAUGAGAGUGACGGUACUUGAGAAGAAAGCCCCGGCUAACUACGUGCCAGCAGCCGCGGUAAUACGUAGGGGGCAAGCGUUGUCCGGAAUUAUUGGGCGUAAAGCGCGCGCAGG